UACGUAGGGUGCGAGCGUUGUCCGGAAUUAUUGGGCGUAAAGAGCUCGUAGGCGGUCUGUCGCGUCGGUCGUGAAAACUUGGGGCUUAACCCUGAGCUUGCGGUCGAUACGGGCAUGACUGGAGUUCGGUAGGGGAGACUGGAAUUCCUGGUGUAGCGGUGAAAUGCGCAGAUAUCAGGAGGAACACCGGUGGCGAAGGCGGGUCUCUGGGCCGAUACUGACGCUGAGGAGCGAAAGUGUGGGGAGCGAACAGG
rnacentral:rRNA from 1 species